rnacentral:tRNA from 1 species
GAGCCCAUAGCUUAGCCUGGUGGAGCGCCGGUCUUAUAAGCCGGUGGUCGCGAGUUCAAAUCUCGCUGGGCUCA